rnacentral:rRNA from 1 species
UACGAAGGGGGCGAGCGUUAUUCGGAAUCACUGGGCGUAAAGCGUGCGUAGGCGGUUCUAAAAGUUAGAAGUGAAAGCCCAGGGCUCAACCCUGGAGUUGCUUUUAAAACUGUAGGACUAGAAUUCGGGAGAGGAUAGCGGAAUUGUCAGUGUAGCAGUGAAAUGCGUAGAUAUUGACAGGAACACCAGUGGCGUAAGCGGCUAUCUGGACCGACAUUGACGCUGAGGCACGAAAGCGUGGGGAUCAAACAGG